rnacentral:rRNA from 1 species
UACGUAGGGUGCGAGCGUUGUCCGGAAUUAUUGGGCGUAAAGGGCUCGUAGGCGGUUUGUCGCGUCGGGAGUGAAAACCCAGGGCUUAACCCUGGGCUGGCUUCCGAUACGGGCAGACUAGAGGUAUGCAGGGGAGAACGGAAUUCCUGGUGUAGCGGUGAAAUGCGCAGAUAUCAGGAGGAACACCGGUGGCGAAGGCGGUUCUCUGGGCAUUACCUGACGCUGAGGAGCGAAAGUGUGGGGAGCAAACAGG